rnacentral:rRNA from 1 species
GAGGGGGACAACAGUUGGAAACGACUGCUAAUACCGCAUACGAUCUAAUCUCGGCAUCGAGGAUGGAUGAAAGGUGGCCUCUAUUUAUAAGCUAUCGCUGAAGGAGGGGAUUGCGUCUGAUUAGCUAGUUGGAGGGGUAACGGCCCACCAAGGCGAUGAUCAGUAGCCGGUCUGAGAGGAUGAACGGCCACAUUGGGACUGAGACACGGCCCAG